AGCAGCCGCGGUAAUUCCAGCUCCAAUAGCGUAUAUUAAAGUUGUUGCAGUUAAAAAGCUCGUAGUUGAAUUUCGGGAUCAAUAUGUUGGUCGUGCCUCGGUACGUACUAGCUUAUUGGUUUCUCCUUUCUGAAGAACCAUGAUGUCAUUUAUUUGGUGUCGUGGGGAAUCAGGACUGUUACUUUGAAAAAAUUAGAGUGUUUAAAGCAGGCUCACGCUUGAAUACAUUAGCAUGGAAUAAUGAAAUAGGACGUUUGAUUCUAUUUUGUUGGUUUCUAGGAUCGACGUAAUGAUUAAUAGGGAUAGUUGGGGGCAUUAGUAUUCAAUUGUCAGAGGUGAAAUUCUUGGAUUUAUUGAAGACUAACUACUGCGAAAGCAUUUGCCAAGGAUGUUUUCAUUAAUCAAGAACGAAAGUUAGGGGAUCGAAGACGAUCAGAUACCGUCGUAGUCUUAACCAUAAACUAUGCCGACUAGGGAUCGGAUGAUGUUAAUUUUUU
rnacentral:misc_RNA from 1 species